AUCCAUCUGACAAGUCUUAAAUAGGACGAAACAUACGUCAAACUGUAU
rnacentral:hammerhead_ribozyme from 1 species